rnacentral:lncRNA from 1 species
GUAGAAAUGAUAUGGCCGUAUUGCUUAGGGUUUACUCAGAUGACAGAGAACUCAAGAAAAAGGGUGUACCUUUUGAGGGAUCUUAACACAGUCCUCUUAAGAUGGGAAACAGGAAAGGAUGCUGUCAACUACCAAUGAAUGUCCUCUGUGUCCCACUGCAAUGUCAUCUUGAAUGGAUUUGGAAAUGCCUAUGAGCAUGAGAUAUGCUACAGACUUAGACUCCAACCUUGCGUUGAUGGAGAAAAGCAUUCCCACACCCGAGGUGCACACUGCCCCCCGCCUGAGGGAUCUGCAAGCUCCCCAGCGAGGAAGCGCCCUGCUGACCAGCGUGGUCCCCACCCGCCCCCAGCCGGCGGUGUUUUCCCAGGAUGCAGAGGGCGCGCUGCGCCGGGCAAGAACAGUGGAAACGCUUCUUUCUCACAUGCUUAUCUUUCAGUAAGGGAUGCAAUUCAAUUAUUCCAGCUUUGCUUGUAAAUUCCAAGUUCCUCUUCCCUUCCCCUUAUUAAUAUGCUAAUGUCUUGUAAUAAUGCAUUUUGCACCGGGAACGAAGGGAAGCUGGGCAAUCAAUAAAAAGGAGGCACAAAUUCUAGCUUUAACUUUACCCGGUUCCGGGGCGGGGGCGAGAGUGGGGAGGAGGAAGAGAAGGAAGGAGGGACACGCGGCCCGCAAAACAUAAAAAUGAUCCCUUGUUUUCCGGCGUCCGGGCCGGACUGCUGCGGGAGGCGGCCCUGAGCUCAACUUGCACUGCCGGUCCCUAGGAUGUCGCCUGCUUUUUCAUCCCCGAGCCGCCUCCUGAAAGCGGCGACGCCUGCGGGCACAGUGUGUCCCGGGGCCCGCGCGGUGAGGCCCGGCGCCCCGAGCACUGC